UCCCUACGGGACGCAGCAGUGGGGAAUAUUGCACAAUGGGGGAAACCCUGAUGCAGCGACGCCGCGUGAAGGAAGAAGUAUUUCGGUAUGUAAACUUCUAUCAGCAGGGAAGAAAAUGACGGUACCUGACUAAGAAGCCCCGGCUAACUACGUGCCAGCAGCCGCGGUAAUACGUAGGGGGCAAGCGUUAUCCGGAUUUACUGGGUGUAAAGGGAGCGUAGACGGCUGUGCAAGUCUGAAGUGAAAGGCAAGGGCUCAACCUUUGGACUGCUUUGGAAACUGUGCAGCUAGAGUGUCGGAGAGGC
rnacentral:rRNA from 1 species